rnacentral:rRNA from 1 species
UACGAAGGGGGCUAGCGUUGCUCGGAAUCACUGGGCGUAAAGGGUGCGUAGGCGGGUUUUAAGUCAGGGGUGAAAUCCUGGAGCUCAACUCCAGAACUGCCUUUGAUACUGAAGAUCUUGAGUCCGGGAGAGGUGAGUGGAACUGCGAGUGUAGAGGUGAAAUUCGUAGAUAUUCGGAAGAACACCCGUGGCGAAGGCGGCUCUCUGGGACGGUACUGACGCUGAGACGCGAAAGCGUGGGGAGCAAACAGG